AUUGAACGCUGGCGGCAUGCUUUACACAUGCAGGUCGAACGGUAACAGGCCGCAAGGUGCUGACGAGUGGCGAACGGGUGAGUAAUGCAUCGGAACGUGCCCAGUCGUGGGGGAUAACGCAGCGAAAGCUGUGCUAAUACCGCAUACGAUCUAUGGAUGAGAGCGGGGGACCGUAAGGCCUCGCGCGAUUGGAGCGGCCGAUGGCAGAUUAGGUAGUUGGUGGGGUAAAGGCCUACCAAGCCGACGAUCUGUAGCUGGUCUGAGAGGACGACCAGCCACACUGGGACUGAGACACGGCCCAGACUCCUACGGGAGGCAGCAGUGGGGAAUUUUGGACAAUGGGCGCAAGCCUGAUCCAGCAAUGCCGCGUGCAGGAAGAAGGCCUUCGGGUUGUAAACUGCUUUUGUACGGAACGAAACGGUCUGGGUUACUACCCUGGGCUAAUGACGGUACCGUAAGAAUAAGCACCGGCUAACUACGUGCCAGCCGCCGCCGUAACAC
rnacentral:rRNA from 1 species